rnacentral:rRNA from 1 species
CCAGGUUGAAGAUACGGUAACACGUAUUGGAGGACCGAACCCACAUCCGUUGAAAAGGAUCGGGAUGAGCUGUGCCUAGGGGUGAAAGGCCAAUCAAACUCGGAGAUAGCUGGUUCUCCGCGAAAUCUAUUUAGGUAGAGCGUCAUCCGAAUACCCCGGGGGGUAGAGCACUGGAUGGGUAAUGGGGCCCCACAGGCUUACUGAUCCUAACCAAACUCCGAAUACCCGGGAGUACUAGAUGGCAGACACACGGCGGAUGCUAACGUCCGUCGUGAAGAGGGAAACAACCCUGACCGACAAGAAAGGACCCU